rnacentral:rRNA from 1 species
UACGUAGGGUGCGAGCGUUAAUCGGAAUUACUGGGCGUAAAGCGUGCGCAGGCGGUUUUGUAAGCCAGAUGUGAAAUCCCCGGGCUUAACCUGGGAAUGGCAUUUGGGACUGCAAGGCUUGAGUGCGGCAGAGGAGACUGGAAUUCCUGGUGUAGCAGUGAAAUGCGUAGAUAUCAGGAGGAACACCGAUGGCGAAGGCAGGUCUCUGGGCUGACACUGACGCUGAGGAGCGAAAGCGUGGGGAGCAAACAGG